rnacentral:ncRNA from 2 species
AAAGCAUAAACUUAGUAUGUUCCUUUAAUAAUUUAAAAGAAGUGAUUGGGGAAACUGGUUAGAUUCCAGUACAGUGCCGCUACGGUAAGCCCACGACUUUGUGUCGGGGACAAGUCCGAUUACCAAUCAUUUUUGUUUUUCCCGA